GGUUAAGCGACCAAGCGUACACGGUGGAUGCCCUGGCAGUCAGAGGCGAUGAAGGACGUGCUAAUCUGCGAUAAGCGCCGGUAAGGUGAUAUGAACCGUUAUAACCGGCGAUUUCCGAAUGGGGAAACCCAGUGUGACUCGUCACACUAUCAUUAACUGAAUCCAUAGGUUAAUGAGGCGAACCGGGGGAACUGAAACAUCUAAGUACCCCGAGGAAAAGAAAUCAACCGAGAUUCCCCCAGUAGCGGCGAGCGAACGGGGAGGAGCCCAGAGCCUGAAUCAGCAUGUGUGUUAGUGGAAGCGUCUGGAAAGGCGCGCGAUACAGGGUGACAGCCCCGUACACAAAAGCGCAUGUGCUGUGAGCUCGAUGAGUAGGGCGGGACACGUGGUAUCCUGUCUGAAUAUGGGGGGACCAUCCUCCAAGGCUAAAUACUCCUGACUGACCGAUAGUGAACCAGUACCGUGAGGGAAAGGCGAAAAGAACCCCGGCGAGGGGAGUGAAACAGAACCUGAAACCGUGUACGUACAAGCAGUGGGAGCACAGGUUUACCUGUGUGACUGCGUACCUUUUGUAUAAUGGGUCAGCGACUUAUAUUCUGUAGCAAGGUUAACCGUAUAGGGGAGCCGAAGGGAAACCGAGUCUUAAUUGGGCGUUAAGUUGCAGGGUAUAGACCCGAAACCCGGUGAUCUAGCCAUGGGCAGGUUGAAGGUUGGGUAACACUAACUGGAGGACCGAACCGACUAAUGUUGAAAAAUUAGCGGAUGACCUGUGGCUGGGGGUGAAAGGCCAAUCAAACCGGGAGAUAGCUGGUUCUCCCCGAAAGCUAUUUAGGUAGCGCCUCGUGAAUUCAUCUCCGGGGGUAGAGCACUGUUUCGGCUAGGGGGCCAUCCCGGCUUACCAACCCGAUGCAAACUGCGAAUACCGGAGAAUGUUAUCACGGGAGACACACGGCGGGUGCUAACGUCCGUCGUGAAGAGGGAAACAACCCAGACCGCCAGCUAAGGUCCCAAAGUCAUGGUUAAGUGGGAAACGAUGUGGGAAGGCCCAGACAGCCAGGAUGUUGGCUUAGAAGCAGCCAUCAUUUAAAGAAAGCGUAAUAGCUCACUGGUCGAGUCGGCCUGCGCGGAAGAUGUAACGGGGCUAAACCAUGCACCGAAGCUGCGGCAGCGAACGUAUCACUUAAAACGAUUCAGAAGCUUACGAUUGACGGAGCGAAGCGACGUCAAAGCGUAUACAAAGUCGAGUCGGUUUAAGGAUACGUUCGUUGGGUAGGGGAGCGUUCUGUAAGCCUGUGAAGGUGGCCUGUGAGGGUUGCUGGAGGUAUCAGAAGUGCGAAUGCUGACAUAAGUAACGAUAAAGCGGGUGAAAAGCCCGCUCGCCGGAAGACCAAGGGUUCCUGUCCAACGUUAAUCGGGGCAGGGUGAGUCGACCCCUAAGGCGAGGCCGAAAGGCGUAGUCGAUGGGAAACGGGUUAAUAUUCCCGUACUUGGUGUUACUGCGAAGGGGGGACGGAGAAGGCUAUGUUGGCCGGGCGACGGUUGUCCCGGUUUAAGCGUGUAGGUGUGUGUUCCAGGUAAAUCCGGUUCACUUUAACACUGAGGCGUGACGACGAGGCACCACGGUGCUGAAGCAACAAAUGCCCUGCUUCCAGGAAAAGCCUCUAAGCAUCAGGUAACAUCAAAUCGUACCCCAAACCGACACAGGUGGUCAGGUAGAGAAUACCAAGGCGCUUGAGAGAACUCGGGUGAAGGAACUAGGCAAAAUGGUGCCGUAACUUCGGGAGAAGGCACGCUGACACGUAGGUGAAGUGAUUUACUCACGGAGCUGAAGUCAGUCGAAGAUACCAGCUGGCUGCAACUGUUUAUUAAAAACACAGCACUGUGCAAACACGAAAGUGGACGUAUACGGUGUGACGCCUGCCCGGUGCCGGAAGGUUAAUUGAUGGGGUCAGCGCAAGCGAAGCUCCUGAUCGAAGCCCCGGUAAACGGCGGCCGUAACUAUAACGGUCCUAAGGUAGCGAAAUUCCUUGUCGGGUAAGUUCCGACCUGCACGAAUGGCGUAAUGAUGGCCAGGCUGUCUCCACCCGAGACUCAGUGAAAUUGAACUCGCUGUGAAGAUGCAGUGUACCCGCGGCAAGACGGAAAGACCCCGUGAACCUUUACUAUAGCUUGACACUGAACAUUGAGCCUUGAUGUGUAGGAUAGGUGGGAGGCUUUGAAGCGUGGACGCCAGUCUGCGUGGAGCCAACCUUGAAAUACCACCCUUUAAUGUUUGAUGUUCUAACGUGGACCCGUGAUCCGGGUUGCGGACAGUGUCUGGUGGGUAGUUUGACUGGGGCGGUCUCCUCCUAAAGAGUAACGGAGGAGCACGAAGGUUGGCUAAUCCUGGUCGGACAUCAGGAGGUUAGUGCAAUGGCAUAAGCCAGCUUGACUGCGAGCGUGACGGCGCGAGCAGGUGCGAAAGCAGGUCAUAGUGAUCCGGUGGUUCUGAAUGGAAGGGCCAUCGCUCAACGGAUAAAAGGUACUCCGGGGAUAACAGGCUGAUACCGCCCAAGAGUUCAUAUCGACGGCGGUGUUUGGCACCUCGAUGUCGGCUCAUCACAUCCUGGGGCUGAAGUAGGUCCCAAGGGUAUGGCUGUUCGCCAUUUAAAGUGGUACGCGAGCUGGGUUUAGAACGUCGUGAGACAGUUCGGUCCCUAUCUGCCGUGGGCGCUGGAGAACUGAGGGGGGCUGCUCCUAGUACGAGAGGACCGGAGUGGACGCAUCACUGGUGUUCGGGUUGUCAUGCCAAUGGCACUGCCCGGUAGCUAAAUGCGGAAGAGAUAAGUGCUGAAAGCAUCUAAGCACGAAACUUGCCCCGAGAUAAGUUCUCCCUGAGACUUUAAGUCUCCUGAAGGAACGUUGAAGACGACGACGUUGAUAGGCCGGGUGUGUAAGCGCAGCGAUGCGUUGAGCUAACCGGUACUAAUGAACCGUGAGGCUUAACCUU
rnacentral:rRNA from 2 species